UACGUAGGGUGCAAGCGUUGUCCGGAAUUAUUGGGCGUAAAGAGCUCGUAGGCGGUCUGUCACGUCGGGCGUGAAAAUCCAGGGCUUAACCCUGGACCUGCGUUCGAUACGGGCAGACUAGAGUUCGGUAGGGGAGACUGGAAUUCCUGGUGUAGCGGUGAAAUGCGCAGAUAUCUGGAGGAAUACCGGUGGCGAAGGCGGCAUCCUGGACCAUUACUGACGCUGAGGCGCGAAAGCUAGGGGAGCAAACGGG
rnacentral:rRNA from 1 species